CGGUAAUCUCUUGCUCCAAUAGCGUAUAUUAAAGUUGUUGCGGUUAAAAAGCUCGUAGUUGGAUUUCUGUUGAAGGCGGGCCGUCCGCACUAUGUGCGUGUAUGUGUUACGACUUCGGCAUCCUCUUGAAGAACGUAAUGUGAUUAAUUUCGUGUUGCGGAAUUCAAGACUUUUACUUUGAGGAAAUUAGAGUGUUCACGGCAAGCAAACGCUUUGAAUACAUUAGCAUGGAAUAAUAAUAUAGAACCUUGGUACUAUUUUGUUGGUUUCUAGAACUAAGGUAAUGAUAAAUAGGGACAGUUGGGGGCAUUCGUAUUAAGACGUCAGAGGUGGAAUUCUUGGAUUGUCUUACGACGAACUACUGCGAAAGCAUUUGCCAAGGAUGUUUUCAUUGAUCAAGAACGAAAGUAUGGGGAUCGAAGACGAUUAGAUACCGUCGUAGUCUAUACCAUAAACUAUGUCAACUAGAGAUUGGUAGUCGUAUUUUAUAUGACUCUAUCAGCACCUUAUGAGAAAUCAAAGUUUUUGGGUUCCGGGGGGAGUAUGGUCGCAAGGCUGAAACUUAAAGGAAUUGACGGAAGGGCACCACCAGGAAGUGGAGCCUGCGAACUUAAUUUGACUCAACACGGGAAAAUCUCACCAGGUCCAGACAUAGUAAGGAUUGACAGAUUGAUAGCUCUUUCUUGAUUCUAUGGGUGGUGGUGCAUGACCGUUCUUAGUUGGUGGAGUGAUUUGUCUGCUUUAUUGCGUUAACGAACGAGACCUUAGCCUGCUAAAUAGUAUCUAGUAUCUUCGGAUAUUAGACUUACUUCCUAGAGGGACUUUGUGUAUCAAGCACAAGGAAGCUUGAGGCAAUAACAGGUCUGUGAUGCCCUUAGAUGUUCUGGGCUGCACGCGCGCUACACUGAUGCGUUCAAUAAGUAUAGAACCUUGUCCGACAGGAUUGGGUAAUCUUUUGAAAACGCAUCGUGAUGGGGAUAGAUUAUUGUAAUUAUUAGUCUUCAACGAGGAAUUCCUAGUAAGGGUGAGUCAUCAGCUCAUCCUGACUACGUCCCUGCCCCUUGUACACACCGCCC
rnacentral:rRNA from 1 species